rnacentral:rRNA from 1 species
UACGUAGGGGGCAAGCGUUGUCCGGAAUCAUUGGGCGUAAAGAGCGCGUAGGCGGCCCGGUAAGUCCGCUGUGAAAGUCAAGGGCUCAACCCUUGAAUGCCGGUGGAUACUGUCGAGCUAGAGUCCGGAAGAGGCGAGUGGAAUUCCUGGUGUAGCGGUGAAAUGCGCAGAUAUCAGGAGGAACACCAAUGGCGAAGGCAGCUCGCUGGGACGGUACUGACGCUGAGGCGCGAAAGCGUGGGGAGCAAACAGG